UGCGUUCUUUGUGUGCUUCGGUGUGACUUCUUUGGGAUAUUUCUGCGUGUUUCUCGCUUUUUAUGGGCUUGGUGCCUAGAAGGUCGCCAUGAUCGCCUCCGACUCAGCAACAUCAAAAAUUCAAAAUGAGCUGGGAGACAUGCUAAAGGUUCACAUAGGUUGGAGGAGUGCACAUUGAGAAGGUUAUCCUGGCACAGCUUACCAUGGCCUGCCUUGGUGGACCAGGAAAGUUUGCAAGGACCUUGCUUCACCAUAUGUUCACAGAGGAGGAGCCCACGGGCCAUUUGCACUUUGGAAAUAACACCAAGGGGCAAAAGAGGCUCUUGACCCCACCAGGGUCAGCGCUGUUAUAGGCAAGUACCAUGUAUCCUUUCCGGUUGCAUUAAUACAUUCACAUUUUUUUCUAAAAUUAACAACUUGCCAUUGGCAUAACAAACGACUUUCACGUAGCCCAUGUGUGCAGUUGUGUGCUACAAUAGGCUACCAUUUGGAGUGACUGCUCAUAUGACCUUAAGUGCCUAAUGCCACCACACUCAAAUGCUUCUAAAAUUUAAAAGUUGCCUUCAUUGCCAGAAGUUUGUGGCGGCUCCACCAGAAGAAAUGAGGCUGCAUUUGCGCAUUAGCAGUGCUACUUGGCUGUAAUUGCAAUGCAUAGUUGUCUGUGAAGCACGCUCAAAAUCUAGUGGCAUGGAGGACAUGUUUAAGUAGCCUGAAAGUGUUAUUCUAAUACACGAAUUACGGAGAAGCUAUGCUCAAGUGUGGUUACUGUUCAGCUCGAGGAGCAGCAUUUUCACUAAAUUUCAGGAAUCAAAAGAGAGCUCCAGGUUCUGGCAUGUGAAACAGUAGUUUCACCAAUUUUAACAGACCACAUUGAAUUUAAGUUGCUCCUAUCUUGAAGGAGGUCGAUGUGAUGCCAGACAGCAGGCUUUCAGCAGAAGAAACACGAGUUGUGUGGCAAUUUUGUUCGGGUUGUUUCAAUCAAAGAAACAGGGACAUAGUUGCCAGCAUCACUGUCAACAGUACUAUGUUUAGUGGACGCUUACUCAUUCUAAGCACCUAACCUACGACUUGUAUUUAUUAACAUGCACUUUAUCACUUUGUAUUCUAAGAUAUGAAAAAAAAAUAUUUAUGUGGCUUUUCUCUAUAUACUUCAAUAAAUUGAGAAUAGGCCCUUGGCAACUACUUUGUAAAGCUUGUUGCAGACCAUCGGACAUGUCCACUACUCCCAUUCUGAAAUUGUUGGAAUUGUUUCCUGCUUCCUUACUUCACUUGUAUGUCCUGUUUACAGGGUUGUUAUGAACCACUGCUAAGUAGAUUAUGGGCUUAAAUUUAUCAAAAGGAUGAAUAGGCUUUCCCGUCGCUCUUGUUUAGCCCGUUGAGGAUCACAUUUUGGGGAUCCUCCUUUCUUCAUGGUGUUUUUCUUGACUUUUCUAAGGCUUUCCACAAAGUACUUCAUCAACUACUUCUACUAAAAGUCAGCACUUUGAAAAUUGACCCAAACAUCCUCAAAUGGAUCGAAUGUUUUUUAUCUAACCGAACCCAAUAUGUUAUCGCUAACAAUCACGCUUCCUCUCCUUGUCCUGUUGAAUCUGGCGUCCCUCAAGGUUCCGUUUUAAGUCCACUUCUAUUCCUGAUCUACAUAAAUGAUCUUCCAGAUAACAUUAACUCUAGUAUAAAGCUACUUGCAGACGACUGUGUUAUCUAUCGCGAAAUAAAUAGCCAUAAUGAUGCACUUGUCCUUCAAUCUGACCUAAAUAAAGUAUCUGAAUGGUGCAAUAAAUGGUUGAAGACCCUUAACCUCAGUAAAUGCAAGUACCUGGAAUUCUCGCGAAGCACGAAUGCCUCAAUGUCUUUAGAAUACAGAAUUCAUGGCGUCAGACUGGAGCGCGUGUCUGCGUACAAGUAUCUCGGUGUCUACAUACCUGAUGACUUGUCAUGGCAUACUCACAUUGACUACAUCAUAGGUAAUGCAAAUUGCACUCUCGGUUAUUUCCAACGCAAUUUUUUCCAAGCUCCAGAGCACCUAAAAUUAAUGCUUUAUCAAACUUUCGUAUGUCCAAAACUCGAAUACGCGUGUGCAGUUUGGGAUCCGGCACACCGCACUCUCAUUCAAUCCAUAGAAUCCCUUCAGAAUCGAUCAUCUCGUUUUAUUAUGUUGAACUGUUCACGUACCGCUAGUGUUUCGCAGAUGAAAUCGUCACUUACCCUUCCUAACCUUCAAACUCGGCGCAACAUCUCGCGCCUUUGUUUAUUCCACAAAGUGUUCCAUCACCGUUCAUUGAAUCAGCAACCCAUUUCGCAGCCAGUGUACUUAUCCUCCCGUAUCGAUCACAACAAUAAGGUAGCUGUUCCUCUUUGUCGCACUGACAAGUUCUGCUUUCUUUUAUGCCGAAAACCUGCUCUGAGUGAAACCGCCUUCCCUCUUCUAUCGCCACCUUAGCCGAUGCGUCAUCAUUCAAGACCGCUGUGACAGAUCAUCUUUUAAUAUGACUCGAAUUUUGCUGUUUUUUUAUU
rnacentral:lncRNA from 1 species